GACGAACGCUGGCGGCGUGCUUAACACAUGCAAGUCGAACGGAAAGGCCCUGCUUUUGUGGGGUGCUCGAGUGGCGAACGGGUGAGUAACACGUGAGUAACCUGCCCUUGACUUUGGGAUAACUUCAGGAAACUGGGGCUAAUACCGGAUAGGAGCUCCUGCUGCAUGGUGGGGGUUGGAAAGUUUCGGCGGUUGGGGAUGGACUCGCGGCUUAUCAGCUUGUUGGUGGGGUAGUGGCUUACCAAGGCUUUGACGGGUAGCCGGCCUGAGAGGGUGACCGGCCACAUUGGGCCUGAGGUACGGCCCAGACUCCUACGGGAGGCAGCAGUGGGGGAUAUUGCACAAUGGGCGGAAGCCGGAUGCAGCAGCGCCGCGUGCGGGAUGACGGCCUUCGGGUUGUAACCCGCUUUCGCCUGUGACGAAGCGUGAGUGACGGUAAUGGGUAAAGAAGCACCGGCUAACUACGUG
rnacentral:rRNA from 1 species